CCCUUAGAUGUCCUGGGCCGCACGCGCGCUACACUGACAUGUUCAACAAGCCUCCUAGUUCGACAGGAUUUGGGAAAUCUUUGAACGCAUGUCGUGAUAGGGAUAGAUCAUUGCAAUUAUUGAUCUUGAACGAGGAAUUCCUAGUAAACGCGAGUCAUCAGCUCGCAUUGAUUACGUCCCUGCCCUUUGUACACACCGCCCGUCGCACCUACCGAUUGAAUGUUUCGGUGAAGAUUCCGGAUAGGACUUUUUUGAUUUACUUCAAUUCUGUCUUAAAAGCUAUCUAAACCUCAACAUUUAGAGGAAGGUGAAGUCGUAACA
rnacentral:rRNA from 1 species